CCUGUGCUCCAUUUCCUGGGCUUUUUAUUUCUCCUGAUCUUUAUGGCAGCUGGGUAGUGAGGCAGCAAGGCAAUUGCUAAUAAUCCCUGCUGAGACUUCCCAGCCUGGAUUUCUGACUGACUGCAAUCUUUCAUUGCUUCUUUUUUAGAUUGCCUGCCAGGAUGUUCUGGGUGUCAGUGGAGUGAGAGAGCCCCUUCAAAUCACACCUAUAUUCUCCAUUUAACUUAGAGCAUCAAGUGUUUCUCUACAGGAGGAAGACAACUAGGGAAGGAAUAUGACAAAACAAAACACAUCCUUAGCCACAAUGAGGUGAAGUCAUGCCAAGAGGAGGGGACACCAAAACAAACCUAAAGGACAAAAGUUUGAGCAAGGACUGAAGCUUUGUGCUUCAAAGGCACUGAACAGAUGUGCCAGCUGCCACAGGACACACUGAGGGCUGUGUUUCAUACCUGCUCUUCUAUGGUGCCUGGCACUGACGUAUCACGAAGUAGCUGCUGUGGUUCCAGUUAACAACCUAGGACAUGAAAGGCUGAUUUGUGUGCUGACACAAAAAUACACCUUUACCACAGAAAUAUUAAUGGAAAGAGCUUUGCUCCAUUGAA